rnacentral:tRNA from 1 species
GCCGAGGUGGCGGAACUGGCAGACGCAGCGGACUUAAAAUCCGCUGGCCCUUCGGGGGCCGUGCGGGUUCGAGCCCCGCCCUCGGCA